GCCUCAGGGGCGGCCGUGCGGCCAGCCGCGGGCUUGGGCUGCUCUGGAGCAAGCUCUCAGGCGGCCCGUCCCGCUGCGAGCUGCUUUGGGAAGUCCUUCAUUAUUUUCCACCCCAUCCGCCCGCCCUGGAGGAAGAACCAGAGAUGCUUGUUUCAGAAUUCAAUUGUUCCAGCAAGAACAUCAGAAGACACUCUACUUUUUAGGAAGCCCCUACUGAGCAUGUGGAAAGUAUCACCAGCAUCAUAGUUCUUGAGGCUGGCUCAUUCACUUCUCUGUCCUGUUUUAUUUUUCCUUUUUCCAACACCAUUGGCCUUUUUUUUCCCUGUGUAGACUCUACAGUAACUCCUGAAAUGUCUAAAAUCAUAUGAACUGACAUACCUCUUUUUUCUUUUGUGACUUUUUCAUCAGUAUGAUACGUGUACAGCAACUCUUUCAAACGCUGCUGUAUCUCAGCAUCUUCCUCCUCAUCUUGCAAACAGCGACUCCUUCCUUCUGGUAGGCUUAACCUCUUCUCACCACUUCUGAUUUUGUGUAGUCCUGUUUUUUUUCCUAGAAGAAAAAUCCCCAUCUUAAUUUGUUCAUCUUUACUUGGACAUGGCUCCGCCUUGUACUCCUUCAAUCACCUGCUCCAUUUCUUCUCCUGACAGGAGAAGACCUCCUGCUUGCAUCCAGCUCACUUCACCUUUGUGUCUAAAGGCAGACUUUGCUCCUCUUUCCCUUCUGUCCCAGUUAUUCUCUGACAGUGGUUCCAGCAGCCUGGACGUGAAGGCCACAUACCUCCUGUAUCUUUACUCAUCUCAGCGUGUACUGUUUUUUAGCUCAGUACACACUGCUCAGGCAGAAGAGCAAUCAUAUUUUGCAGGGCAUGACUAGCGGUACUGCAGUUUCCACAGGUAGUCACUGGGAACACCAGCUGUCCCUGCAGUCCAGUCUCCAAGCACCAGUCUGGAGGCUGCAGCUGAAGUUCAGCAUCCCUUCUUCCCAGUUGUAGCCCUCAGAGGUCACUGAUACAAUUUUAGUACUCGAGACGGCACCUUACACAAAGUGUUACAAGAAUUGGCAAUCCUGGAUGUAACAGGGAGGGACCUUAGCUGCAAAGUUCAGGUUGUGGUGCAGAGCCACGGGCUGGAACAGGAGCGUUCAGAGUAAGGCUUUGGUUCACACCCAUUCCCCAUGCACAGCAUCUAUAGGAAGAAAGAAUCUUUAAAGCUCAUCGAAAUACAUCUGAAUGCAAGAAGAGAUUCCAAUGGUUUAAAGAUGUUUGAAAAUCCCAAAUGCAAAGCAAUUGUAGUUCAUUAUACUUCAUCACUUCCUCAUUUUUGUAUUUUUCAGUCUGCUUUUAAACUCACAAGCAUCUGAAAUCCAUAAAUUUUAUUUCUUUAUACUCAUUUAAACACUACUGCAGGUGCCAUUAAAAUAUCCAUACAUUGGAAAUCUCAGGAAACAUAGCUAUAUAAUAUGUUUAAAGAUUUAUAAUGGUGGAAUAGUAUAUAAAGGCAGAAUAGCCUGAAAACCGUAUUUUAGAAGUCUGUGGUUAUAAUGAAGAACCUUACCUGCGGUAAAGUAGUAGUGCAUUUUUUUAUCUUGUUUGCACAAGUAUGCUAGCUAAAUAUGUAAAUUA